UUAACUGGAGGGAGGUGGGGAUGACGUCAAAUCAUCAUGCCCCUUAUGACCUGGGCUACACACGUGCUACAAUGGAUGGUACAACGAGUUGCGAGACCGCGAGGUCAAGCUAAUCUCUUAAAGCCAUUCUCAGUUCGGACUGUAGGCUGCAACUCGCCUACACGAAGUCGGAAUCGCUAGUAAUCGCGGAUCAGCACGCCGCGGUGAAUACGUUCCCGGGCCUUGUACACACCGCCCGUCACACCAUGAGAGUUUGUAACACCCGAAGCCGGUGGCGUAACCCUUUUAGGGAGCGAGCCGUCUAAGGUGGGACAAAUGAUUAGGGUGAAGUACGUAAGCAAGAGCUUACCCUC
rnacentral:rRNA from 2 species